CUUCGUGCGAGGCACCACCAAAAUAAAAAGCUGUUUCACAUAUUAGGGUUUCCUCUGCUUCUUUUGCCUACUGUAGACCUCCGCCGCUUCUGCUUCCAAUCCUCUCCUUCGUUCUUUAUUCUCUUUUUUGUUCUUUUGUUUUUCAUCUUCAUCUAUCUACAGAAUAGAAAACUUGAUCCAUUCCUUCUUCUCGGCCACCACUUCUCAAAUCCCCCAAUUCCCCCAAGCCGCAACAACAACCACCACCACCACCGCUUCAAUUCUUUCUUGGCGUUGAUUUUGGGAGGGGUGAGGUUUCGGCUGGACGGCUUGCUUGAGGAAGGGGAGUGGCCGGAGGGAUAAAUGCUUCAGCAGUUAGCUCUGUCUGUGAAAAAAAGAAAAGGAAAAAAAAAUUAAAAAAGAAGACGAUGGUGGCAAUUUGGGUUCUUAUACAAGGGUUUGUUUUCCAAAAGGCUUUGGAAGAACUGGAUGUUUGGUUGCUAGAGUCAUCUUGCUAUCAAUGAUCCAUUUAUCACCACUGAUUACAUGUUUACAGAUGAAAAUGGACAAAGGCAAUAUGUGUGGCAGACAUCAUGGGUUAUUAGCAUGUGAAUUGUUGGAGGUUAAGGAGGGAAAAGGUAAGAAGAAUCAGCAACGAUGGCGGUGCCUUUGCUUUCGAAGAAGACAAUGAAGAAAAAGGUUAACAAGUUCAAGCAACUCCAGAGUGACCGACAAAUUUCCAUCAAGGAAAAUGAUUGUGGAAGCUUUAAAGAAAAUGAUCAGAAAUCUCUUGGAAUCGUCUUGCAAAAGUAGAAUUUGCUGUUCAUGGGAUUGACUAUGAAGGCCAUGCAAAGCCAUUGGUAUUGUUAAAGCUUCAAAACCUGUGGUCCCUUAUUCCUCUGAUCUUGAGAAAUGCGGAGAAAAUGCGAGGAUGAAACUGCCAGCAUUUAAAGAAUGCAGUUUAGAUGAGCUAAAGAUGGCACCUUCAAGAUUCUCAAUUGAAAACAUUGUAUCAGAACAUGGAGAUAGAGCUCGCAAUGUUGUCUACAAAGGGCAGCUUGAAGAUGACGCCUCUUGGAUUGCUGUCAAACAUUUCAAUAAGUUUGCUUGGCCGGAUUCUCGGCAAUUCCUGGUUGUUAUUACUUCUUUUAAGCAAAGUCCCCAACCAUAGUCUUCACAAAUGUGAUAUUAUCUUAUUUAUGUACGUGCUUUGAUAUCAGCCAUAGUACUUAGUUAACCAUGAGUAUGGUGGAUGUUAUUCAGAUUUAAGAUUUGUUGUAUGCAAUUUGUAGGUUGAUAAGUGAGGAAACUUAUUGCUGGCUGAUAUGAAUUGAGACAUUGAUUAUAUGGUUGUUAUGCCAUAUGAAUUGAAACAUUGAUUAUACGGCUGUUGUACC